rnacentral:ncRNA from 1 species
UUGGGUAUCCGCAAGGAUUUAAUAGAGAAGCCGGAGCGUUUCCGGCGCGGUCACGCCACCGUAUUGGGGAGCGAAUUUGCAGAAAAGCGCGAUGUUUUCGCCGAAAGGUGAAAAUGUGCGUCUUUCGAUAGAGCCACUGAAGCUGUUGCUUUGGGAAGGUGCAGAGGAGCUGUGAACCUGAGCCGGGAGAACUGCCCUAC